GAUGAACGCUAGCGGCAGGCCUAACACAUGCAAGUCGAGGGGUAACUAGAGUGAUAGCAAUAUUACUUUGGCUAGACCGGCGCACGGGUGCGUAACACGUAUGCAACCUACCUUAUACUGGGGAAUAACUUCGAGAAAUCGGCGCUAAUACCCCAUAACAUUACGAAGAGGCAUCUCUUUGCAAUUAAAGCUCCGGCGGUAUAAGAUGGGCAUGCGCCCAAUUAGCUAGUUGGUGAGGUAACGGCUCACCAAGGCUACGAUUGGUAGGGGUUCUGAGAGGAUGAUCCCCCACACUGGAACUGAGACACGGACCAGACUCCUACGGGAGGCAGCAGUGAUGAAUAUUGCGCAAUGGACGAAAGUCUGACGCAGCCAUGCCGCGUGCAGGAUGACGGCCCUAUGGGUUGUAAACUGCUUUUGUACGGGAAUAAACCCUUCUACGUGUAGGAGGCUGAAGGUACCGUAAGAAUAAGCACCGGCUAACUCCGUGCCAGCCGCCGCGGUAAAAC
rnacentral:rRNA from 1 species